ACGGCUCAGUAACACGUGGACAACCUAACCUAUGGUGGGGGAUAACCCCGGGAAACUGGGGAUAAUACCCCAUAGACUAUGGAAGCUGGAAUGCUCUGUAGCCGAAAGGUCAGCCGCCGUAGGAUGGGUCUGCGGCCGAUUAGGUAGUUGUUGGGGUAACGGCCCAACAAGCCUGUAAUCGGUACGGGUUGUGGGAGCAAGAGCCCGGAGAUGGAUUCUGAGACACGAAUCCAGGCCCUACGGGGCGCAGCAGGCGCGAAAACUUUACAAUGCGGGAAACCGUGAUAAGGGAACUCCGAGUGCCCGUUAAAUCGGGCUGUCCACCAGUUUAAAAAACUGGUGAAGAAAGGGCCGGGCAAGACCGGUGCCAGCCGCCGCGGUAAUACCGGCGGCUCGAGUGGUGGCCACUAUUACUGGGCUUAAAGCGUUCGUAGCUGGUUUGUUAAGUCUCUGGGGAAAUCUUCCGGCUUAACCGGAAGGCGUCCCAGGGAUACUGGCAGACUAGGGACCGGAAGAGGUGAGGGGUACUCCAGGGGUAGGAGUGAAAUCCUGUAAUCCUUGGGGGACCACCUGUGGCGAAGGCGCCUCACCAGGACGGCUCCGACAGUGAGGGACGAAAGCUGGGGGAGCAAACCGGAUUAGAUACCCGGGUAGUCCCAGCCGUAAACGAUGUGCGUUAGGUGUAUCGGUGACCACGAGUCACCGAGGUGCCGAAGAGAAAUCGUGAAACGUACCGC
rnacentral:rRNA from 1 species